rnacentral:misc_RNA from 1 species
UGGAAUGUUCUGUUCAAAAUGGUAAUGGACCUACUUCUUGAUAUUUAUUUGGCAUCUCUGCUUUCUAUUCAUUUCAUUCUACGAGUUUUCGUAUAAUUUCUUUAUAUUCUAUAAGCAUAUUGUUAUCAUACCUUGUGUACUAACAAAUUAUGUAAAAUAAAGAAAAAGAUUGGGUUGUCAAAUAUUUUAAAGCAUUUUUUUUUCCUCAUAUCCAAGUCCCUUGUGUAUAUUUACAUGGUUAGCAAGAUUUAUGUGCCAACAAAAGAUAGAAAUUUGUAUAAA